UACAGGGGGUGCAAACGUUGCUCGGAAUCAUUGGGCGUAAAGCGCACGUAGGCGGUCUGUUAUGUCGGAUGUGAAAGCCCUUGGCUUAACUGAGGAAGUGCAUCCGAAACUGGCAGGCUAGAGUACUAAAGAGGGUCGCGGAAUUCCCGGUGUAGAGGUGAAAUUCGUAGAUAUCGGGAGGAACACCGGUGGCGAAGGCGGCGACCUGGGUCGACACUGACGCUGAGGCGCGAAAGCGUGGGGAGCGAACAGG
rnacentral:rRNA from 1 species